UUUUGCAUCAUGGCUUAUUGCUUUUUACCGAAAAGGUUUGAUUUUUAAUUCAAUUGGUUUGUAACUUAGUCGGGUAGGGUAGAAAAUUGAUUUAACGUUGUGAUAAAUUAGUCGUUUUCCUUUAUAUCUGUUUUUUGUCUUAAUUUUCAAUUUAUUUACAAGGCGGAGAGGUCUUGUAAAUGUGUAUAUAUCUAAGUGUAGUGUCUUGAGUGAAUAGGGUUAAUAAUACCCUUUUAUUAGAGUUUUGUUAUAAUUUAUCUAUGUCUUGUUGUAUUUAUUACGUUUUAACUGACAAAUAUAUUUAACCAUUUGUUAUAUUUAUGAUACAAUGAGUAAUGAGAUAAAUUUAUAUUGUUUCUCAAGCGUAUUCCGUCUGUUUAUUAAAAACAUUUCUAUAUUUUAAUUUUAUAUAGUAGGGCCUGCUCGGUGUUUAAUUAUUAAUGGCCGCAGUAUCUUGACUGUGCGAAGGUAGCAUAAUUAAUUGCCCUUUAAUUGGGGGCUUGUUUGAAUGGUCUGACGUGGUUAUUGUUAACAUUAUUUUUGUUUUUGAAAUUAAUUUUGAGGGCACAGAAUCCUCUGAGUUUAAUUAGACGGAAAGACCCCGGGAUCUUUCUAUUUUGCCUGGGGCAGGUUAUAUUUUUUCAAAUUUAUAUUACGAUCCUAUAUUAGGCUUGAUGAUUUAAGUUACCCCGGGGAUAACAGUGUAAUAGUUUAUUAGAGAUCCCAUCGAAUAGACUGAUUGCCACCUCGAUGUUGACUUAGGUUUUAUAAAAGGGCGCAGUAGUUCUUUUAUGUGGUCUGUUCGACCUUAAUCACCUCCAUGAGUUGAGUUAAGACCGGCGUGAGCCAGGUCGGUUCUUAUCUAUU
rnacentral:rRNA from 1 species